GACGAACGCUGGCGGCGUGCUUAACACAUGCAAGUCGAACGGAAAGGCCCUGCUUUUGUGGGGUGCUCGAGUGGCGAACGGGUGAGUAACACGUGAGUAACCUGCCCUUGACUUUGGGAUAACUUCAGGAAACUGGGGCUAAUACCGGAUAGGAGCUCCUGCUGCAUGGUGGGGGUUGGAAAGUUUCGGCGGUUGGGGAUGGACUCGCGGCUUAUCAGCUUGUUGGUGGGGUAGUGGCUUACCAAGGCUUUGACGGGUAGCCGGCCUGAGAGGGUGACCGGCCACAUUGGGACUGAGAUACGGCCCAGACUCCUACGGGAGGCAGCAGUGGGGAAUAUUGCACAAUGAGCGGAAGCCUGAUGCAGCAACGCCGCGUGCGGGAUGACGGCCUUCGGGUUGUAAACCGCUUUCGCCUGUGACGAAGCGUGAGUGACGGUAAUGGGUAAAGAAGCACCGGCUAACUACGU
rnacentral:rRNA from 1 species